GACGGAGGAUGCAAGUGUUAUCCGGAAUCACUGGGCGUAAAGCGUCUGUAGGUGGUUUAAUAAGUCGACUGUUAAACCUUGAGGCUCAACCUCAAAAUCGCAGUCGAAACUAUUAGGCUAGAGUAUAGUAGGGGUAAAGGGAAUUUCCAGUGGAGCGGUGAAAUGCGUAGAGAUUGGAAAGAACACCGAUGGCGAAGGCACUUUACUGGGCUAUUACUAACACUCAGAGACGAAAGCUAGGGUAGCAAAUGGG
rnacentral:rRNA from 1 species